rnacentral:rRNA from 1 species
AACGAACGCUGGCGGCAGGCUUAACACAUGCAAGUCGAACGCCCCGCAAGGGGAGUGGCAGACGGGUGAGUAACACGUGGGAACGUGCCCUAAGGUUCGGAAUAUUCCCGGGAAACUGGGAGCAAUACCGAAUGUGUCCGAGAGGAGAAAGAUUUAUCGCCUUAGGAUCGGCCCGCGUCGGAUUAGCUAGUUGGUGGGGUAAUGGCCUACCAAGGCGACGAUCCGUAGCUGGUCUGAGAGGACGACCAGCCACACUGGGACUGAGACACGGCCCAGACUCCUACGGGAGGCAGCAGUGGGGAAUCAUGGACAAUGGGCGCAAGCCUGAUCCAGCCAUGCCGCGUGGAUGAUGAAGGCCUUAGGGUUGUAAAAUCCUUUCGCCGAGGACGAUAAUGACGGUACUCGGAGAAGAAGCUCCGGCUAACUUCGUGCCAGCAGCCGCAGUAACAC